AUUUAACGCUGGCGGCAGGCCUAACACAUGCAAGUCGAACGAGUUGCGGACGGGUGAGUAAUGUCUGGGAAACUGCCUGAUGGAGGGGGAUAACUACUGGAAACGGUAGCUAAUCCCGCAUACCAUCGGAUGUGCCCAGAUGGGAUUAGCUCGUAGGUGGGGUAAAGGCGCACCUAGGCGACGAUCCCUAGCUGGGGUGAGAGGAUGACCAUCCACAGUGGACCUGAGACACGGUCGAGACUCCUACGGGAGGCAGCAGUGGGGAAGAUUGCAAAAUGGGCGCAAUCCUGAUGCAGCCAUGCCGCGUGGAGGAAGAGGGCCUUCGGGUUGUAAAGUACUUUCAGCGGGGAGGCGUUACCCGCAGAAGAAGCACCGGCUAACACCGUGCCAGCAGCCGCGGUAAUAC
rnacentral:rRNA from 1 species